rnacentral:rRNA from 1 species
GUGCCAGCAGCCGCGGUAAUACGGGGGGAGCAAGCGUUGUUCGGAUUUACUGGGCGUAAAGGGCGCGUAGGCGGCGCAACAAGUCACUUGUGAAAUCUCCGGGCUUAACCCGGAGCGGCCAAGUGAUACUGUCGUGCUAGAGUGCGGAAGGGGCUACUGGAAUUCUCGGUGUAGCGGUGAAAUGCGUAGAUAUCGAGAGGAACACCUGCGGCGAAGGCGGGUAGCUGGGCCGACACUGACGCUGAGGCGCGAAAGCCAGGGGAGCGAACGGGAUUAGAUACCCCCGUAGUCC